rnacentral:tRNA from 2 species
GCUCACGUAGCUCAGUCGGUAGAGCACUUCCUUGGUAAGGAAGAGGUCAUGGGUUCGAUUCCCGUUGUGAGCACCA